rnacentral:rRNA from 1 species
UACGUAGGGUGCGAGCGUUGUCCGGAAUUAUUGGGCGUAAAGAGCUUGUAGGCGGUUUGUCGCGUCUGCUGUGAAAUCUCAAGGCUCAACCUUGAGCUUGCAGUGGGUACGGGCAGACUAGAGUGUGGUAGGGGAGACUGGAAUUCCUGGUGUAGCGGUGAAAUGCGCAGAUAUCAGGAAGAACACCCGUGGCUAAGGCGGUUCUCUAGUACGGUACUGACGCUGAGACGCGAAAGCGUGGGGAGCGAACGGG